GAUGAACGCUGGCGGCGUGCCUAAUACAUGCAAGUAGAACGCUGAAGGAAGGAGCUUGCUCUUUCCGGAUGAGUUGCGAACGGGUGAGUAACGCGUAGGUAACCUGCCUGGUAGCGGGGGAUAACUAUUGGAAACGAUAGCUAAUACCGCAUAACAGUAGAUGUUGCAUGAUAUCUACUUAAAAGGUGCAAUUGCACCACUACCAGAUGGACCUGCGUUGUAUUAGCUAGUUGGUGAGGUAACGGCUCACCAAGGCGACGAUACAUAGCCGACCUGAGAGGGUGCUCGGCCACACUGGGACUGAGACACGGCCCAGACUCCUACGGGAGGCAGCAGUAGGGAAUCUUCGGCAAUGGACGGAAGUCUGACCGAGCAACGCCGCGUGAGUGCAGAAGGUUUUCGGAUCGUAAAGCUCUGUUGUAAGAGAAGAACGAGUGUGAGAGUGGAAAGUUCACACUGUGACGGUAUCUUACCAGAAAGGGACGGCUAACUACGUG
rnacentral:rRNA from 1 species